rnacentral:rRNA from 1 species
AUGCAUCAUACUAUACUGCUGCUGCUACUGAGAUUUGCCACAAUUUCUGUAUCCUGUGUUACAAUGAGACUCGCAGUUGCACGAUUCAGGUGGAAAGGUGGGUUAUGUGUGACAAAUGUGAACGCUGGAAGCAUCAGAUUUGUGCCCUUUUUAAUUUCAAAAGGGGUGAUUCUAAAGAAGCAAAAAUGUACUUGCCCUGAAGUGUUGUUCUUGGGACUAAAGAUCUGCCAAGGGCCGUGCUUAGCAAUCAUAUACAAGAACAACUCUUUAAACGGUUCAGGGAAGAGAGACACGAACAGGCCAUUCAUGAUGGGAAAAGCUUUGAUGAGGUUAGUGCUGCCUCAUCAAUUCACAGAAUCUUACGUUUAUGGAUCCUAUGUUUUCUUUUUCUUGGUUAUGUCUUGGUUCCUCUUUCCUGAAUAUGAAAUUUGUAGCUUGUGUACUUCUUAG